rnacentral:rRNA from 1 species
UAAUACUAGCGGUCCAAGUCGCAGCCAUUUUUAUUGGGUCUAAAACAUCCGUAGCUUGCUUGAUAAGUCUUCUGUGAAAUUUUACGUCUAAAACGUAGAGCGCGCAGAAGGUACUGUCAAGCUAGAGACCGGAAGACGUAAGAAGUACAUCCAGAGUAGCGGUUAAAUGUGUUAAUCCUGGGUGGACUAACAAGAGCGAAGGCAUCUUACGAGGACGGAUCUGACAGUAAGGGAUGAAAGCUAGGGGCGCAAAUGGGAUUAGAUACCCCAGUAGUCCUAGCAGCAAACACUGCACACUAAACAUUAGUACCUCUUCGAGAGGUAUUAGUGCUGAAGGGAAGCCGGAGAGUGUGCUACCUGGGAAGUAUAGUCGCAAGGCCG